rnacentral:rRNA from 1 species
UACGUAGGGGGCGAGCGUUGUCCGGAUUUAUUGGGCGUAAAGAGCGUGUAGGCGGCCAGGUAGGUCCGUUGUGAAAACUCGAGGCUCAACCUCGAGACGUCGAUGGAAACCAUCUGGCUAGAGUCCGGAAGGGGAGAGUGGAAUUCCUGGUGUAGCGGUGAAAUGCGCAGAUAUCAGGAAGAACACCUAUGGCGAAGGCAGCUCUCUGGGACGGUACUGACACUGAGGCACGAAAGCGUGGGGAGCAAACAGG